rnacentral:rRNA from 1 species
UACGAAGGGGGCUAGCGUUGCUCGGAAUCACUGGGCGUAAAGCGCACGUAGGCGGAUUGUUAAGUCAGGGGUGAAAUCCUGGAGCUCAACUCCAGAACUGCCUUUGAUACUGGCGAUCUUGAGUCCGGGAGAGGUGAGUGGAACUGCGAGUGUAGAGGUGAAAUUCGUAGAUAUUCGCAAGAACACCUAUUGCGAAGGCAGCUUACUACGCAGAUAUUGACGCUCAUGCACGAAAGCGUGGGGAUCAAACAGG